rnacentral:lncRNA from 1 species
GAAAUAUUCGAUUAAAAACCGUUGAAUGUAAAUUAUAUGAACUCCAAAGUCUCAUAUUAUGAGACUAGUAAACCACAGGCUUCUCAAUUCUUGUAUGAUCAUGAACUAGGUGAAAACCUAGAGCUGAUCGAGUGCGAGAUCCUCAUGGAUAAUCAUCGAGGUCGUUAAACACCCCUUGCAGUAAACUUGGGUUAGAUUUUUAAAAAAUCCAAAUGUAAUAGUCUGAACACAUUUCACCUCUCAUUCCACUAAAUAUUAAAUUGCAGUUACAAGUAUCACAAAACUUCCCUGACCUCUUUUCUUUAACCAUAAUAGAGGGAGGAGGGACGGAGGGAUCCAGAUCCCGAAAUCCCGGCCUUAAAAACACGACAUCCCGAGGUCCUGAAUUUAAAGAUAAUUAAAUCCCGACUACCCGAAAUUCGGAAAUAGAAUUCCCAGAUCCCGAAAUCCCGAG